rnacentral:rRNA from 1 species
UACGGGGGGGCAAGCGUUGUUCGGAAUUACUGGGCGUAAAGGGCUCGUAGGCGGCCAACUAAGUCGGACGUGAAAUCCCUCGGCUUAACCGGGGAACUGCGUCCGAUACUGGAUGGCUUGAGUUCGGGAGAGGGAUGCGGAAUUCCAGGUGUAGCGGUGAAAUGCGUAGAUAUCUGGAGGAACACCGAUGGCGAAGGCAGCCCCCUGGGUCAAGAUUGACGCUCAUGCACGAAAGCGUGGGGAGCAAACGAGG